ensembl:lncRNA
AUGAAUAAUUUUAAUGUAGACAAAUAUGAUGCAUUUCAAUAUAAUAACAUUAAUAUUGAAAGUAAUAAAAAUAAAAAUAAUAUGAAUGAAAAAAAAUAUCAAUCAGCUUAUUAUUCUUUUGUAAAAAAUGAUGAUUAUGGUAGUAAUAUAUAUAAUAAGAAUAGUUCAUAUUAUAGGGAUAAAAAAAAAGAAGAUAAACAUAAUAAUACUACUAAACAUAUAAAUAUAACAAUAAAUAAAGAGUUAGUAGAUACCUUAUCAAUUGAAGAACUUUUAAAAGUUUUAGAAAAAUAUGAUAAAAUGGGAGUACAUAAAGAAAUGAACGGAAUAGACAACUGUGAAGAAAUGAAUAGAACAGACAACUGUGAAGAAAUGANNNNNNNNNNAAAAAAAGAAAAAGUAUAUACAUAUAUAAAAAAACAUGAAAAUACGGAAAUGUUGUCAUACGAAAAUAUUUUAAACGAAGUAAACAUAGUAACAGCAUAUCAUAGAAUAGCUAAACACAUUAAAAAUAAAAAUUAUUUUAUUAAUAAAACUGCAAAAGAUGAAAAAGAAAUAAUUGGUACAUGCUAUGAUGAUAUAACUUUUAGUUUGUUUAAAAAAUAUACAAAUAUAAAUAAUGAAAAGAGUAAUACUUUUAAAUAUACAAAGUCUUCUUUAGGCAAUACAUAUGCGACUGUCAGUGAUGGGUCUGUAAGUAAUGGAGCUGUAAGUGAUAUGACUGUAAGUGAUAUGACUAUAAGUGAUAAUAAAAAAAUAAACAACUCCGAAUGUAAUAAAAAAAGUUUAACUUUACAUGACUUAACAAACUAUGAUCAUACCAAUUUAUGUAACAUAAAUAUUUAUAAGAAUAUAUAUAUAUUGUUAAAAAAAAUGUUAAUAAAUAAUAGUAUAGUUACAUCGAAACAUAUUGCUAAUAUAACAUGGGCUUCGUGUAUUUUAUCAAAUGAAGAUGAUGCAUUAUGGUUAAUUAUUAAAAAAAUUUUUUAUAAAGAUAUAAAUAAAUUUAAAGCUCAAGAAGUGUCAGCUAUUUUAUGGUCAUUUAGUGCAUCGAAAAAAAGUUUUAUCGAUUCGGAUGAAGAGUUUAUAAUUUUAUAUAAAUGUUUAGAAGAUCAUAUAAUAAAUAAAACAUUCAAACCCCAAGAGUUUAGUAAUAUAAUGUGGGCUUUUGCAGUAUCUAACUAUUGUAAUUAUGAUUUAAUAGUUCUUUUAUAUAAUUAUGCAUUAGAAAUGUUUGAUAAUUUAUUGUUUAAAGAUAUAGCAACUGUCUUAUAUAGUUUAUCUAUUUUUGCAUCUGAUUCAAUAAAUAAAAAUAUUUUAACUGCUAUUAAAUUUAAUCAUUUGGAGCAAUAUAGGUUUGUAUAUGAUUAUUUAACAGUUGGGAAAAAAAAAAACACACAAACAGAAAUGGGUGAUAUAAAUAAAGGUAAAGAUAUACAUAAUGUGUCAGUAAAUGAUAAAAACAAUGAACCAUCUAAUACAAAUAAAUGCAAACAGAAUUUUACAUAUUUUAUUAAUCCAUUUGAUGAAGAAAAGAAAUAUCAAGUGAAUAAUUUAAUAUAUGACAAUAAAUUGAAUGAAAAAAAAUAUACAUUUUUUUUAUUAUUUGAAAACUUUUUAUUAUAUUCUAUGAAUAAAAUAAAAAAAGAAAAAGCUAAAAUAACUAUGCGAGUAUGGGCUAAUUUGUUUUGGUCAUGUGCAAGUAUAGGGUUAGGUUUAUAUACAGAUAAUUAUACCCAACACCCGUUGAGUUAUUAUUUAUAUUUUUUACAGAAUGAAGAAAUUGAUUCGGUAGUUGAUGGUGGUAGUAGUGGUAGUGGUGGUAGUAGUGGUAGUGGUGGUAGUAGUGGUGGUAGUAGUGGUAGUGGUAGUGGUAGUGGUAGUGGUAGUGGUAGUGGUAGUGGUAGUGGUAGUGGUAGUGAUAGUGGUAGUGGUAGUGGUAGUGGUACCAGUAGUAACAGUAGUACCAGUAGUAACAGUAGUACCAGUAGUACCAGUAGUACCAGUAGUACCAGUAGUACCAGUAGUAACAGUAGUAACAGUAGUAAUAGUAGUACCAGUAGUAACAGUAGUACCAGUAGUACCAGUAGUACCAGUAGUAACAGUAGUAACAGUAGUAAUAGUAGUACCAGUAGUAACAGUAGUACCAGUAGUAAUAACACAAAUAAAAUAACAUAUGUAGAAGAUACAAAUUUUAUUUAUCAUUUGUUUGUUAACGAAAAACAGUUCAAAAAAAUUGAUACUGUAAAUUAUAUUAUAAGUUCUAAAAACAAAAAUAUAAAUUAUGAUAAAACAAAUCCAGUUCAUAUUUUUAAACCAUAUGUUUAUAUUAUUAACAAGUCAUAUAUUUUUCCAUUAAAUAAUUUUUUUUAUUCUCAAAACAAAUUACCUAUAAAUAAAGAUACAACGUUAAGUGAUAUAAGCUUAUGUGUCGAUUUGGAUUUGUUUAAUUAUGGGUCGAAUAAAAUAAACUUAAAAACUAACUCAACUGGGGUCAUGAGUGAUAAGACAGAGACAAUAACUAAUGAAGUAACAAAUAAUAUACGAACUGUUUUAACUAAACAAAAUGGCAGUAAUGGCAGUAGUGGUGAUAGUAAUGGCAGUAGUGGUGACAAACCGAACGAAAUUAAUUAUUCUAAAUUUAUGAGCGCAUUAAACAAUAAAGGAAUAAAUAAGUACGAAACAAUUAAUAAGAAUAAAAUAUUACUAGAUUUGCUUACUGUGUUUGAAGAUGAAAUAAAAGAAAAAAAAAAAAAAAUAAUAAAAAAAUGCGAUGUACAAUCUAUGGCUAACAUAUUAUGGAGCUUAUCAAUUUUAAAUAUAUUUUCAAAAGAUAUAUUUAACAAUUUUAUAACAGAAUGUAACAAAUUAUUUCUUAAAUUUGGUAAAAAGAAAAAUAACACAAGAUUAAAUUAUUUUAUAUCACAGUUACACCAAUCACAAAUAUAUCAAGCGGCAUUUUCGUACUGUCUCUAUUUAUUAAGCAAAGAAGUAUCAGCAAAAAAUUGUAACACAUCGUUGUCUGUGAAAAAUAACCGGAAAACUGACUUGAAAACAAACUCUUUUGCUUUUAUAAAAAAAAAAAUGGAAAAUAUUUUUACAAAUAAAUUAAAAAUUUCAUUAUAUACACUAAAUAUAUGGAAAAAACAAUUAGCUAGAAAUCAAAGAAAAGAAGAAAAAAAUAAUAUAUCAUCUUCAGUACAUAAAAAAAUAUCAAAUGAUUUAAAAAAAUUAAACAUAUACCAUUAUAAUGAAUAUUUUAUUUUUAAUUCAAUUCUGGUUGAUAUAUAUAUACCUGAUUCAAAGCUUGUUAUCGAACUGGAUGGACCUAGCCACUUUUUUCAAAGAGGAAAAAUAAUUGUUUAUAAACCGAAUACUUUAUUUAAAAAAAGAUUACUAAGAGCUCUUGGUUUUAUUGUUAUAUCUAUUUCAAUUACAGAUCAUACAUUCAUGUUUAGUGGAUUAAAUACAGUGGAAAUUACUAAAAAAUUCUUAAAUAAAGUAAAUUGGGGUUAUCCUUAAGAUAAAUGGCGAACAUAUACAUAUACACAUACAUGUAUACGUGUCUGUAUAUAUAUACUUAUACAUGUAUACGUGUCUGUAUAUAUGUACUUAUACAUGUAUNNNNNNNNNNCAUGUCUGUAUAUAUGUACUUAUACAUGUAUACGUGUCUGUAUAUAUAUACUUUUUUUUUUUUUUUUUUUUUUUGUGUUUUUUAAUAUUUAUAAAUAUGUUUAUUUCUUAUGUUUAUAAAAGUAUAAUUCCAUUUGGUUUAAUAACAGUUAUUGGUUUAUAUGUUUUAACACACAGUUUUGUUUGUUUAUUUAAUUACUUAAUUAUUUAACCACUGAAUUAUUUAAUUAUAAAUUCAUCUACUUGUCUAUGUAUCCAUAUAUACAUAUACCCAUAUAUACAUAUAUCCAAUUUUUAAAACACUUUCCAUCACUUA